rnacentral:rRNA from 1 species
AGAGUUUGGUCAUGGCUCAGGAUGAACGCUGGCGGCGUGCCUAACACAUGCAAGUCGAGCGAUUCUCUUCGGAGAAGAGCGGCGGACGGGUGAGUAACGCGUGGGUAACCUGCCCUGUACACACGGAUAACAUACCGAAAGGUAUGCUAAUACGAGAUAAUAUACUUUUAUUGCAUGGUAGAAGUAUCAAAGCUCCGGCGGUACAGGAUGGACCCGCAUCUGAUUAGCUAGUUGGUAAGGUAACGGCUUACCAAGGCGACGAUCAGUAGCCGACCUGAGAGGGUGAUCGGCCACAUUGGAACUGAGACACGGUCCAAACUCCUACGGGAGGCAGCAGUGGGGAAUAUUGCACAAUGGGCGAAAGCCUGAUGCAGCAACGCCGCGUGAGCGAUGAAGGCCUUCGGGUCGUAAAGCUCUGUCCUCAAGGAAGAUAAUGACGGUACUUGAGGAGGAAGCCCCGGCUAACUACGUGCCAGCAGCCGCGGUAAUACGUAGGGGGCUAGCGUUAUCCGGAAUUACUGGGCGUAAAGGGUGCGUAGGUGGUUUCUUAAGUCAGAGGUGAAAGGCUACGGCUCAACCGUAGUAAGCCUUUGAAACUGGGAAACUUGAGUGCAGGAGAGGAGAGUGGAAUUCCUAGUGUAGCGGUGAAAUGCGUAGAUAUUAGGAGGAACACCAGUUGCGAAGGCGGCUCUCUGGACUGUAACUGACACUGAGGCACGAAAGCGUGGGGAGCAAACAGGAUUAGACACCCUGGUAGUCCACGCCGUAAACGAUGAGUAUUAGCUGUCGGAGGUUACCCCCUUCGGUGGCGCAGCUAACGCAUUAAGUACUCCGCCUGGGAAGUACGCUCGCAAGAGUGAAACUCAAAGGAAUUGACGGGGACCCGCACAAGUAGCGGAGCAUGUGGUUUAAUUCGAAGCAACGCGAAGAACCUUACCUAAGCUUGACAUCCUUUUGACCGAUGCCUAAUCGCAUCUUUCCCUUCGGGGACAGAAGUGACAGGUGGUGCAUGGUUGUCGUCAGCUCGUGUCGUGAGAUGUUGGGUUAAGUCCCGCAACGAGCGCAACCCUUGCCUUUAGUUGCCAGCAUUAAGUUGGGCACUCUAGAGGGACUGCCAGGGAUAACCUGGAGGAAGGUGGGGAUGACGUCAAAUCAUCAUGCCCCUUAUGCUUAGGGCUACACACGUGCUACAAUGGGUGGUACAGAGGGCAGCCAAGUCGUGAGGCGGAGCUAAUCCCUUAAAGCCAUUCUCAGUUCGGAUUGUAGGCUGAAACUCGCCUACAUGAAGCUGGAGUUACUAGUAAUCGCAGGUCAGAAUGCUGCGGUGAAUGCGUUCCCGGGUCUUGUACACACCGCCCGUCACACCACGGGAGUUGGGGGCGCCCGAAGCCGGAUUGCUAACCUUUUGGAAGCGUCCGUCGAAGGUGAAAUCAAUAACUGGGGUGAAGUCGUAACAAGGUA